UUAGUGUUCCCUUUAUUUUUUUGAGCAGUGUAUAUUUUUUUUAUUCACAUUUUUCAAGGGGUGCUGUAGCACCCUCAGCACCCGUACUUUCCACUGCUAUGGGUAGGGGUUAAGGUUAGGGUAGGGACAUCCCAAGGAGGCAGGAUUGCACUGACCAUACAUUUGUCUUUCCAACUAUUCAGCCAAGUUUAUCACACAUGCUGCUACAUCAGCCUGGCCUUUCCUGCCUUUAGGUUUCCGUGUUUACUUUUAUCAUUGGAUCACAUUUUAUCAUUCUCUGACUACUUACUGGCUGCUGAGAAAAUCGAUCAAAACAAAAGCAAGCCAACCUAAAUAUGGCACCAAAUAAUCAGACAAUUAGAAACUACUCAGGUCCUAGAGGUAUUUAAAAAGGUACUUUCAACGUGAGUGAAUUUGCUAUGAUAUUACUUGCCAUUGUUUUUGCUGUUUCCGAAAAACUAGCUAACCAUGUCUGACCUGAACAAUCACCCAAGACUACAGUACGAGCCUGUUAACUAAUUCACCUAUUUCAUGAUUAAUAUGCCACUGCAGUGGAGCGAUGAUCAACUGCAUGUGUUUUAUGAAAAUGAAGUGAAAACGAAUGUGGACCUCUUCAUUUCUACAAAACAGCUUUAAGAUGGUAAGGAGGUCCAGAACAGACAUAUUUCAACUCCCAGACUUCUGUAGUCACAGAUGAGAGAAGUUGACAAGGAAUUGUCCAGCUGCGUGUGGAAGUUCCCUUGUGAAGAGAAACAUCUCAGAGCACAAAGUCCCCUGGACAUGCGAUGACAACAAUCGCUUUCCUAUGAAAAGGACAGCAACAGACCUAUGCAACUACAUCAACUUCAGCAUUCCAGAGCCAGAAAUUCAGCCUCAAGUUUCCCUCCCUCCCUCCUCGGAAUCAUUUAGCUACCUGUGAAACUCAAGACUCCAGCAUGAAAGUGUUUGAUAAGAACACCACAAUGGUAGCCUCUGCCAUGUCCCAAACAACCAGAUGUUCCAGUUUCUUUUAUGCCUGCUACGUUAUGUUACCACAACGGUAACAGGUAGGCCUCCGGAAAUCCAGAAGCACAUUCUAACAGUUGACAAUUAGUCUAACAAGACCAUUUGGUCUAAGGCUCAUUUAGUUGUGCAAUAUUCUGGCCCUGGAUUCACUAGUAGAGCCGAUAUACAAUGCAACACUUAUUUGAUGAGACAGCAGCCUAACAAUUUACUGAUUAUUUCAAGAUCAAGAUGAUGUGUCGAAGGAAGCUCUCUAAAGGACAAGAUCCUUUAAUCUCUGCAAUAUUAACAUGCUGCGUCCUCUCUCCACACAUCCCACCCCUCAAGUCACUUCUGACUAACCCCUCAACUUCUUGAAUUACUGAAAGUGUAGUGUCGUCGUGAGUUGACAAAAAAACGUAUGUCAAGGACACAUUUUUAUAGUUUGUUGACGCGUGACUCAGCAAUUAAUCAUUUCUCCACCUGCUCUUUAGUUUAUUAGUGAUUUAAGUAGUAGCAAUAACCAGUACGGGGCGCUAGUGUGCUGUUAACCACACACUGUUCUACUCAACAGUUGGAACCAUGAUACUGUAUAUAUAAGCCAGAUGUUUUGUGAGUAUGAUGUUUACUGCUCAUUUUGUUUUUCACUUUUGUGUAUUAUCUACUUCACUUGCUUUGGCAAUGUUAACAUAUGUUUCCUAUGCCAAUAAAGCCCCUUGAAUGAAUUGGUUUGUCAAACAACGUAUGUAUGUAAUACGGGUUUGUUUAAAAAAAACUUCAAAUCAACCUCAAGUCACCAUCACUUGAAAGCAGGAUGUCCACAAAAUAAUGACAAGACCAAAAAAAGUAUGCUUA